rnacentral:rRNA from 1 species
GAGUUUGAUCAUGGCUCAGGAUGAACGCUAGCGGCAGGCUUAACACAUGCAAGUCGAGGGGUAUAGUUCUUCGGAAUUAGAGACCGGCGCACGGGUGCGUAACGCGUAUGCAAUCUACCUUUCACAGAGGGAUAGCCCAGAGAAAUUUGGAUUAAUACCUCAUAGUAUUAUGGAAUGGCAUCAUUUUAUAAUUAAAGUCACAACGGUGAAAGAUGAGCAUGCGUCCCAUUAGCUAGUUGGUAAGGUAACGGCUUACCAAGGCUACGAUGGGUAGGGGUCCUGAGAGGGAGAUCCCCCACACUGGUACUGAGACACGGACCAGACUCCUACGGGAGGCAGCAGUGAGGAAUAUUGGACAAUGGGCGCAAGCCUGAUCCAGCCAUGCCGCGUGCAGGAUGACGGUCCUAUGGAUUGUAAACUGCUUUUGCACAGGAAGAAACAACUCUACGUGUAGAGUCUUGACGGUACUGUGAGAAUAAGGAUCGGCUAACUCCGUGCCAGCAGCCGCGGUAAUACGGAGGAUCCAAGCGUUAUCCGGAAUCAUUGGGUUUAAAGGGUCCGUAGGCGGUUUAGUAAGUCAGUGGUGAAAGCCCAUCGCUCAACGGUGGAACGGCCAUUGAUACUGCUAGACUUGAAUUAUUAGGAAGUAACUAGAAUAUGUAGUGUAGCGGUGAAAUGCUUAGAGAUUACAUGGAUACCAUUGCGAAGGCAGGUGCUACUAUGGAUGA